CAAAGAAUAGUUUAAUAAAUAAAAAUUAUAAUUUUGGAGAUUAUAGAUAAAGAUUUUUCUUUUUCUUUGA
rnacentral:tRNA from 1 species